GACGAGCCACACGAACGUUAUUCGGAAUUACUGGGCUUAAAGGGUGCGUAGGCGGUGCGGAAAGUUGGGUGUGAAAUCCCUCGGCUCAACCGAGGAACUGCGCCCAAAACUACCGUACUCGAGGAAGAUAGAGGUGAGCGGAACUUACGGUGGAGCGGUGAAAUGCGUUGAUAUCGUAAGGAACACCCGUGGCGAAAGCGGCUCACUGGGUCUUCUCUGACGCUGAUGCGCGAAAGCUAGGGGAGCAAACGGG
rnacentral:rRNA from 1 species